rnacentral:SRP_RNA from 1 species
ACGUGGACCCCGUGCGGCGUCCAACCUGUGAACUCCCCCAGGGCCGGAAGGCAGCAAGGGUAAGCGGGCUCUGGCGGGUGCACGGGGUCCCCUUCUUU